rnacentral:lncRNA from 1 species
GUUGCCUCGGCCUUUGGCCUUGUCAGGUUACACUGAGAAGACAGCUAUCUAUGAAUCAGGAAGCAGAGCUUCACCAGGGAUUUGGCGAAGUGGAAGAGAAGGCUUAAAGUUCUAUUUUCAGAUAAAAUGAGCACGAAGAAGAGAAAACAGAAAACAUCCAUUGAAUCCUCUGCCUCUGGUAAUGUAUGGCUCCCAGUAUGCCUCCUUCAAGAGCAUGACUGACCCAAUUACUAGUAUGAGCAAAAGGUAUCUAAAGUAAAUGGCCUUAUGUAUAAUCCUGAAUUAUAAAUGGCUGAAGAGGAACAGCCCCAGUCUGCAGCGCCCAGGGAGACCAACGCAGAAGGCAGAAAGUUUCAGAAAGGUGAUGAAAUUUAAGCUGGGCUUUAAAGGCUACAUCAAAUUUGACAAAUGGAAUUGUGAGGAAAGCACAUUAGAAGUAAAGAGUGAACCCACAAAAACAAGAGAACAUCAUGUUUCUAGAGGCUGCCUGCAUUCCUUGGCUAAUGACUUUGCAUCACUCUGACGUCUUGCUCCCAUGGUCGUAUCACCUACUACUGGCCCUGAUCUCACUACUUGUUAUAUGGAACAAAGGGAUAAGGAAGUGACUUGCCUAAGUCACUGAGGAACCUAAUAUUGAGAUUAGCACUCAAUGAUUCCUGGCUCUCAGAAUGUGUGCUGCUACCACCAGGCCACACUCUUCCCUCCAGAGAGAAGAUGUGUCAGCACGGAAUUGUGCUGAAGCAAAGAUGUGAAAUAGAAUGAUUACAUAUCUACCUAGUGGGAAGAUCUGGGGAAGAAUCUAUCAGUGCUGGCAGAGAAGCAAACCAUACGACAUCACUCAUCCCCAGAAAGUGAAGUUAAGGGAAAUAAAAAACAAUCUACACCAUUUAGAAAACACAGCCACCCCAUACCCUUGGAAAAAAUACACUAAAAUAUCUUCAUCUGAUUUGACCUCUAAUAACAUGAAUAAUUGUCUUAUAACUCACUUUCUUACCUCUUGAUUAUUCUACAGAUCCGGCACAUAUGAGCAAAAUCUGAUGAAAUUCACUCAUUUAAUUUGAAGAUUUUAAUUAUGUAGAAAAAG